GACCAUCCUGCCCACACAAUAGGGGAAGGAUCUUACCUAGGAAUCGUCAGUUGGCUCCAGAGCUUCUACAGAGAGGACAUCGCUGGACUUCCUCGCUGCGAAGGUAGGCCUGGGGCCUUUGGCCUCCCCCGCCCCCGGCCACAGGGUCUCAAAGGGAUGGUGGGGGAGUGAUAGAUCUCGGGACCCCCUUCCUUCUCGUGGAGGGAAAGAUGUUCAUUUGGAUCACCUGAUAUCAUUGUGAGAUCAGGUGACUGACAUGUCAAAUAGGCCUACAAGGGGUGAGGAAGUUCAGGAUCUGGCCGUUUAUAUGUUCUAGAAUGCAAUAGGUUCUCAAACUUAAUUUUCCUUUUAUUUAUUGAAUAAGAGCAUGAUCCUAGUCUGUCCCUAAACAGAAAAGGAGAAGAGGGGAAGCAUCUUGCUUACUAGCAACUCAGACUGCUAACAAAAGCAGAUACUGAUGCAAUAAAAAGGCCCGUGACAUUUAAUUCAUGGGACAGAGAAUAAAGGGACAGUUGUGGAUUGUCUGAUAUUUGUCCUUCUCUGGCACCAAGACUUCAUUGAAAAUAAGUUAUAGUUUUGCAUGUUUUAGGCUUAGCCAAGUUAGUAUUCAAAGAGGGUUACUGAUGAUCAAGAAGCAUUUUCAAUGGCCGUGCCCAUAUUGAAUUGGAUUCGUGAGAUAAGUUAAGGAAAAGGCAGUUGUGUAAUUUGCACACAAAGUGGUGAGAAUUGAUCUAAAACAAACCUUUAACUUUCUAACUGGUUUAAAUGGGGAAAAGACCUCUGGAUAAUUACAUCAUUUAGCACAUUGAUUGUCUACAUGCCAAUUCUAAUGAUUUCAGAAAUACAGGGCAUUGUGCUUUCCUCAUUUUUAAGGAAAGGUUUUUGUUCAGCUGAGAGUCAUAAAUGGUGAAUUUUUUAAAGGACAGAAAAUGGAAGAGCCGGGGAAACAAAAGUUUCAUUACAGCAAACAAGGCUUAUUUCACAAAAGCAAAGCAAAAGCAAAUCAAUGGGACACAAUUAAAGGAACCACUUAUCUCCCCUUAUAAUACAACCAAGUAGGCAUGGGGAUUAAAGGACUCCUUUGUAUUUAAACUGAAUGUGAAACUAAGUGAAUGGUUUAUGUAAUUAGUGUAAAAAAAAAUUAACACAUAUAGCAAAAUUUUAACCUAUGUUCUUCCCAAUUUAUUUAUUUAGACCAUGAGAUCACACUGGCUCUCAUAUAAACUGGUAAGAACAUAGGUUAAAAUCCAUGCUCAACCUUCAUUUAUUGGCUUUGAGUAAGUUGCUCUCUCAGCCUAGCCUACCUUAAUAAGUAAGUUGGGGACAAAAUGGGAACUAUUCCCUCAGAGCUCCUUAGAGGGUGCGAGGGAUUAUAAAUAGUGGUGGAUCCAUCACCUCCUGGCAAAUAGAAGGGGAAGAAAUGGAGGCAGUGAGAGAUUUUACUUUCUUGGGCUCCAUGAUCACUGCAGAUGGUGACAGCAGUCACGAAAUUAAAAGACGCCUGCUGCUUGGGAGAAAAGCAGUGACAAACCUAGACAGCAUCUUAAAAAGUAGAGACAUCACCUUGCCAACAAAGGUCCGUAUAGUUAAAGCUAUGGUUUUCCCAGUAGUGAUGUAUGGAAGUGAGAGCUGGACCAUAAAGAAGGCUGAUCGCCAAAGAAUGGAUGCUUUUGAAUUAUGGUGCUGAAGGAAACUCUUGAGAGUCCCAUGGACUGCAAGAAGAUCAAACCUAUCCAUUCUGAAGGAAAUCAGCCCUGAGUGCUCACUGGAAGGACAGAUCCUGAAGCUGAGGCUCCAAUACUUUGGCCACCUCAUGAGAAGAAAAGACUCCCUGGAAAAGACCCUGAUGUUGGGAAAGAUGGAGGGCACAAGGAAAAGGGGACGACAGAGGACGAGAUGGUUGGGCAGUGUUCUCGAAGCUACGAACAUGAGUUUGACCAAACUGCAGGAGGCAGUGGAAGACAGAAGUGCCUGGCGUGCUCUGGUCCAUGGGGUCACGAAGAGUCGGACACGACUAAACGACUAAACAACAAACAUUUUGAGGACCUUGAAACUUGAACUUUUGCAGUCAGCAACAAGGUCUGGAUAACCUGGGCUGGAAGACAGUGAUUUGAAAGUGGGGGACAUUGAAAUCAGUCCCGUGUCAUGGUCAGAUCACUUCCUGUUGAGAUUUAGGCUUUUAGCACCUUCCCCCCUGUGCAGAGGUGGGAGAUCUAUAAGGAUGGCCCACCAUAGAAGGCUGGUGGACCCAAGGGGUUUCCAGGUGGCUCUGGGGGAUUUUCCAGUUGAUAUGAUUGGAGCUCCCGUCAAAGCCCUGGCUGACCUCUGGAACAUCCAAAUGACUCGGGCCAUUGACAUGAUAACCCCUUAGCACCCUCUUCCACUUCAUGGUGCCUGUUUGGCUCCCUGGUAUACUCCAGAGCUUAGGGCAUGGAAACAAAUUGGGAGGCGGCUUGAACGCAAGUGGAGGAAAGAUCUGACAGAAUGGUGAGAGCUCAUCAUUGAGCAGUGAUGGUAGCAUAGAAGGCAUACUUUGCUGCCUCCAUUGCAUUCUUAUGAUAUCAGGAGCUCGGCCUACACUCGAGUAGGGCCCUGGCAGAGACACAUGCCCAACUGGCAUGUUUUCUCCCUCUUGGUCUUUCGUUCGGGAGCUUCAAAAGCUUUCUUCAGCCCGAACAUCACAGCGACCGAUGCCAACCGACACCGGCACACUUAGGGAUCCACAGAGUUUGCGCAUCUUGCGUAACAGACCUCGGCAACUCAGCAUUUUGGCUAAUCUACUUUAUUUAUAUAUAAACACACACGGAGCACUGCAACACGGCUCACUCUCUCUCUAGCAUCAGACAGCAAAGAGAGAAAGAACAAAGGACAAUAGUCCCACUUCACAGAACACAGUAACACAAACAUCCUGUCUCUGUCACUUCAUACUCUGUGGAGUCAAAACAUACACCGCCAUGUGAAAGACAAAAAUUCCAUGACUGCAAUCAUGGAGCAGGAAUUCUAACAGUCAUCCAGCAGAGCUCCUCUGGGUAGUGCGGGGACUUUUAGAGGCUGUCCCAAAGGAGGUGGUGGAAUGAACAGUAGCUCGCUGUGACUUGUUUGCAAAGCAUGUUGAGGAUAAAACCACUUGCCUCCACCAGAAUCUUGUCUCCACUGUUAUAGCAGAUGAAUCUCAUGGGGUGUUCAAAACACUGUCUAGUCCUGUUGUGUUGGGUGAGUUUCAGUUAGUAAGGAUUGAGGAUGCAGACAAGGUAUUUCAAUCAGUGUUUGGAUAACCCUGGAACCUCUUGGCUCAUAAAAACUAGCGAGGAGGGAACAAUUGGCUGGGCCAGGGAGGUGAUGAAUGCCUCCUUGUGAAAAGGGGUCAUCCCUGCCUGCUUGAAGGAGACAAUAAUAAUAAUAAUAAUAAUAAUUUUUUAUUUAUAUCCCGCCCUCCCCAGUCGAAGCCGGGUAAAACCAUUCCUCAAGAAACCCACCCUGAACUCGGAAAAUCUAAGUACAGUGGUACCUCGGGUUACAUACGCUUCAGGUUACAUAUGCUUCAGGUUACAGACUCUACUUACCCAGAAAUAGUACCUCGGGUUAAAAACUUUGCUUCAGGAUGAGAACACAAAUUGUGCUCUGGCGGUGUGGCGGCAGAAGGAGGCCCCAUUAGCUAAAGUGGUGCUUCAGGUUAAGAACAGUUUCAGGUUAAGAAUGGACCUCUGGAACGAAUUAAGUACUUAACCUGAGGUACCACUGUAACUACUGGCAAGAUGGUAAUCUCUCCUUCUUGGGCAUUCUUGGAGGAAACUGAUUUUCUAGAUGGACUUCAGUCAGAGUUUAGGGCAACUGGGAUGAUUAGCUCAUCAGGAACAAUUUAGAAUGUGGGCAGCUCUCAGCUCGAAUCUCCAGGGGGACAUAAAGCAGUUGGGAAUAUAGUGAGAUAUAUCAUCUGCAGACUGUGGGGCUACGAAUGGCCAUGUACUGACUGUCAGAUCUACAAAGCGGGGCAUAUGUGACGCCUCCAUCAGGCAAGGAUGGCAGUAGCCCAAUCUGGUGGGAAUCCAGUAUAUUUUAGAAGUAGGGAAACAGAAAUGGAAAUGGGCAUAGAAAUCUAAAGCAAGUUCGAUUUGCUGUAGUAAGUUGACCUCCUUGUUUGUCAUACUUUGCAUGUAUCACAGCUCAGCCUAACUGCUCAUUGCCUAACAUUUACCGUAUUUUUUGCUCUAUAAGACUCACUUUUUCCCUCCUAAAAAGUAAGGGGAAAUGUGUGUGCACCUUAUGGAGCGAAUGCAGGCUGCGCAGCUAUCCCAGAAGCCAGAACAGCAAGAGGGAUUGCUGCUUUCGCUGCACAGCGAUCCCUCUUGUUGUUCUGGCUUCUAAGAUUCAGAAUAUCUUUUUUCUUGUUUUCCUCCUCCAAAAAACUAGGUGCGUCUUAUGGUCUGAUGCGUCUUAUAGAGCAAAAAACGCGGUAUUCUUUUCGAAAAGCCCAGGCAAGCAAAGCAACAGUCAGAAACCUAAAACUGCUAAUUGCGACCUGGCCAUUGUACUAAUGAUCAAAGCUCCUAUCUCAGCAUUGCUUGUUUCACAUGUGAAUGUAAUUGUAAAACUGUGAGCCCCAAGAUGUGCCAGACACAGAUUUUAGAAGGAGGAAUACAGAAUACGGCACUGUGUCAAGGUCUUUCAGGUCAGAUCCCCAGGAGCUGAUGUAGUUGUGAGCUGAGGGUGAUUCAAAGGUUAAGUCUUCUACCAAAGGGCUAGUCUGGUCAGAGACAUAAUUGGAAUAACAAAGUCAAUAUAUGUUACUAGUGCUGGGACAUAAUCUUCAUUUGAUCUCUCACAUGGCAGAUUAAUUAAGUGUUAUCAAUUAAUGGCCUGGUAAAAGUGAACACCCUGUUAGUCAGUUUUCCAAACAGCAUCAAGCAUAUCCAAAGCCCACCCUCCUACCGUGUGUGUGUGUGUGUGUGUGUAGAGAGAGAAUUACUUUAUGAGAAAUGAAGGGAAAUACUGACACUAUUGACAACGAGCAACUUUUUAUAAUUCUAUAAUAAUCAAUAUUGUUUACACAACGGGCUAAACAGGCACUUUUAUCUGAAAACCUCAACACAUUAAUUAAUUAAACUUCACAAAAGCCCCAGGAAAAAUACAUUAUUGCUGCUGCUGCAGGAGACCCAGAAGUCUAUAUACACUGCAGAUAUACAGUAAAUAAACAGGCUACAAGUGAAAUAUGAACCAGCAUGAGUUAUGUAAGUUGCUUACAUAGAAAACUUGAUGUUUAAAUUAGAUAUGAUAAAGCCUUUGUUUGUUACAGCAUUGUACAGAGCACAGGGACCUCUUUUUGUGCUGUCUACUUUGUGCUGGCACACAUUACACUUUUAUCCUUACGUACAAAAGGUACACAGCCGUUUGAUAUUAAUGGGUUAAUCCUGAUGAUGUAUUACUGUGAUGAGGAUACCACAUUUUUCAUAGCAGAACUACAGAGGAGCAAGCAGGGAUGAUCUGGCUGGCUGCAUCCUGGACCCUGCCUGGUAUGCUCUUGCAGCCAAUUAAGUUGCCUGCUUAUAGACUUCCUGCCUCCUUGUUUGUUGUGUGUGAUUUCUACUUGCAGGUAAGCAUCAAGGUUCUGCUGGUUCCAGAGGGUUACUAUCCGAUGGCUGGCUGAAUUGAACUGCAGUGCGACUGUGGACCAGAGCCUUGGUUUGGCUAGAACAGGCAUAUCCAAAGUCCAUUUCAGGGGCCUAAACUGGCCCGCCGGUUGGUUUAAUCCGGCCCCUGAGGCAGUUUAUUUCUUGGGGUAAAUGUUAGGUUGUGGGUGAACAUAUCAGACGACACAGCGAUUCUUCAAACAGCUCUUGUUUAUUCAGAGGCCAGAACUGAACUGAAGAGCUCAGUCAGCCUGCUUAUAUAGAGCUCCAGAACAACGUAACUGUAGCAACUUUCUAAAACUAUCCAAUCGCUGAGCGUCACUUUCGAUCCUUCAUUUGCAUAACUAUCUACAGUAUCCCCCUGCUGGCCCAGGGUGAGAACUUCAGUACAUAACAGUAAAAUCUUUUUUUAAAAUCUCAACAACUUCAAUCUUAAAAAGAGCUCAACAACUUCAAUCCUAAAAAAAGGCUCAACAACAUGGGUCGGCCCUCACAGCCCUUCACUUCAUCAAAUCUGGCCCUCUUUGAAAAAUGUGUGGACACCCCUGGGCUAGAAGAACAGAUCCAGCUGCAGGCAGGGGGGUUGUCACUAAGGGAACACGGAGGGGCUCACCACUUUAGAUCAUCGCUCUAUGGAGCCACAGGGACAACCCCACUGCUAGUUAAGAACUAUACCAACAAAUACAAAUUGAUCACAGUCCCAAUAAAAGCAGAUUAAAGACCAAUAUGCAAUUUCUAACAUGCACCAAUUUAAAAUAUAUGGUACUUAGACUGUAUAUACUAAGAUAUAGGUAGGUAGCUGUGUUGGUCUGCCAUAGUCGAAACAAAAUACCGGUAAUUUUUUCCCCUUCCAGUAGCACCUUAGAGAUCAAGUAAGUUUGUUAUUGGUAUGAGCUUUCGUGUUCAUGCACACUUCUUCAGAUAGGUAUUUUUUAAUUUUGUAUAUACUAAGGAUAGAAAUAAAUCAAGAUGCAAUUAAAUUCACAAAAACAGAGAAAUCUAGCAAAUGUUUCUGCUAUGGUUUUGUGUGUUUUGGCCAGUUUGUACGCCAGAUACCAUAUUUGGAUAUUUCAGUAGAUUUGGAUAUUUCAGUAGAUUGGGAGUAAAUAAUCUAUUUUGCUUAUCUCUGUGAACAUUGCAUACACACACAAAAUGUGUUACUGUUUUUAUUGCUCCGCUCCCACAAAGGUACAGCCAUUAGUUAUAUGGAGUGUCCAAUGUAUAAAUCAAUCGAAUUUUUAUUAUAGUCAAACUACUAUGUAACGUGGGUGGCGCUGUGAUCUAAACCACUGAGCCUAGCACUUGCCGAUUGGAAGGUCGGCAGUUCGAAUCCCCGCGAUGGGGUGAGCUCCCGUUGUUCAGUCCCAGCUCCUGCCAACCUAGCAGUUCGAAAGCACACCAAAAAGUGCAAGUAGAUAAAUAGGUACCACUCCAGUGGGAAGAUUAACGGUGUUUCUGUGCGCUGCUCUGGUUUCACCAGAAGUGGCUUAGUCAUGCUGACCACAUGACCUGGAAAAACUGUCUGCAGACAAAGGCCAGCUCCCUUGGCCAGUAAAGCGAGAUGAGCGCCACAACCCCAGAGUUGUCUACAACUGGACUUAACUGCCAGGGGUCCUUUAUCUUUACUAUGUAAAAAAAAACAACAACCUACAGAAUAUUUAAAAAUGCAUAGUCACAGCACCAGAAGAAUAAAGGUGACAAGUCAGGCGCUAACCUUUUCAGUAACAUUCAAAUAUAUUGCCAUCUGUUUGAUAAUGACAAUUACCUUCUAGUCGGGCAUCUUUGCUGGACAGCGCCAGCCAGAAUUCGGUACAUGCUCUGGAGGCGAGAGGUUUCGUCUGGGCUUGUGUGAUCCCUCUCUGACUUCACUUUUUCAGGACUGCCAAGCUAAUACAAUAUUUUGAGACCAAUGUACGAUACCAGACAACAAGAACAUUUCUAAAUAUUUGAUAACUGGUUUAUUAUUUUUAUUCUAUUAUUUAUUAAAUUCAUCCAAGGAUUUACUUUUCAGUAUCCCUUUCCUGCAGUCCAUCUGUCAACAUUUUAGCUGCAACCCUAUAUCUACUUACCAGGGAAUAUUAAGCCUCAAUGAACUGAAGGUUAGAAAUGUUUAGAAUUGUGCUGUUAGUCAACUUUAUUCUUCUUCCUUUAAAAAAGCCCACUAAAUUCUUUCUGGAAAUUCCUUCUGUGUAGAGUGAUUUCCCUAAGCCCUGAGGAAUGUAUGCUGUUAGCUAUAAUUUUUAAAAUGUUUUUUGAUAGGACACUUUGUAAUAAAAUUGCUUUUAAAAAUGCAUUUUCAAAUCACAACAAUCAUUUUUUUUUUAAACAAGACCAUCCUUCGUGGUGGCAUUUUGUUUGGGUGAUUGAGAGCAAUGUUUAUUUCAUUCAUUUUGUUUUAUGCAGGUUAGCAUAAGCAAAAGAAGCUGGUCUUGAGAGCCUCACUUUUUAAAAAGAGAUUUUGACAUGUGAUUUACUGGUGUUAUCUGAUGAAUUUCAAAAGCAAUAUAUAUCUUUUCUCUUUUCUACAAUGUUAGCUGUAACAGCUAUGAAUAUCCAUGUAUUUCAAAGUCGAUAAGAUGAAAAAUGUAGGGUUUCCAGGGACUCCAUUUGUUACUAUGCAUAAUAGGGUAAUACCUUUUCUGUAGCACGUCCUCCCUGUACUGCAACUUUUGCCAUUUAUCUCUCCCUUGUCCUCUUUUGCCCCUCUGUUUUUCCCCUUAAAUAGUAUUUUUUGUUUUGUUUAUUUCCAUAGAGGCAAGAGAUGUUGAUGCUGGCAAGUGAAAUGGACUAUUCGGUGGCCACAGGAUGCAGUGUGAAGAAAAAGGUGGGGGAGAAAUGUAAUAAACAAACAAACAAGUGUGGGGUGCUAGAAUGAAAAAUAAUGGAAAAUAAAAU